GGGGCGGUAGCUCAGUUGGUCAGAGCAGCGGACUCAUAAUCCGUCGGUCGCUGGUUCGAGUCCAGCCCGCCCCA
rnacentral:tRNA from 1 species